UACGGGGGGGGCAAGCGUUGUUCGGAAUUACUGGGCGUAAAGGGCUCGUAGGCGGCCAACUAAGUCAGACGUGAAAUCCCUCGGCUUAACCGGGGAACUGCGUCUGAUACUGGAUGGCUUGAGAUUGGGAGAGGGAUGCGGAAUUCCAGGUGUAGCGGUGAAAUGCGCAGAUAUCAGGAGGAACACCAAUGGCGAAGGCAGCACUCUGGGACGUGACUGACGCUGAGACGCGAAAGCGUGGGGAGCAAACAGG
rnacentral:rRNA from 1 species